rnacentral:ncRNA from 4 species
GUUGAGGUAGUAGGUUGUAUGGUUU